CUUGAGUGUAAAAAGAACAAAAAACAACGACAACGUUAUUGACGUCGCCGCAACAGUUACGACGCUUCAUAUAGUCCAUAAUACUUGUAUGAAAUAUAUACCGUUUUGUUGGAGUUCAGGUUGCUCGGUCUUAAGUUCUUUAUGUUACGUUUUGUGUACUAUUGUAUUGUAUUUGUCUAUUAUAUUCGGGUGCGUGCGGAGAUCGCCAAGCUAGAAAACGGUUGACAUUUUCUUCAUUAUAAACUAGAACUAUUUUCGACUUCGGUGCCUUAUUUUUUGUUAAAAUCUAAACACUGCGACGUGUUUUCAAAAUCUUUGUUCUCAUAAAACUUCAUUUCAUCAACGUCUCUUCUCAGAAUAUCAGCCAUCUGUCUGGCACAGGAUAACAAAUCAAUAUUUAAGUAAAUUUAAGUUGUGUGGUAAUUCUUAGUACAUUUGGGUAAAUUAAUCUUAUCUUUGUGCCGCAUAAGCAUCUCUAUAAUUCAACACAUCCCUGAGCCACGACAUUAUAUAUUUUAUGCAUCGCAUGCGCUUCUUUUUAUCACAAUCCAGACCGGCUAGUAACCGUUGUAUAACUUUACACGUCUGAAGACGAAUAUUUGCGUGAAACAUUUUUGUAUGAUUUUUAUUUCUGGAAAUCAAUCUGAAAUCUACAACAGUCCAUUUCCGAAAGUCGGGCUGGACCUUUACUUUUAUGUGCAUUCGGGAUUUACACAAAUUGUAACCCGAAUAAUUCAGUCGUAUUUUUCAGCUGAUGUACGAAUGCUAAUGCUACAUUUCUCGUGUGGGAGAAAAUCGGACAUGGAAAGGGCUUCUAUUUCUAGCUGUUCGGAAUUCGCGGAAACAAAUUUUUGGCAUUACGGUAUUGAAUCAAUAGAGAUACCAAUUAUUUCUUUUAACAAAUUCGAAUACCAGUCAGUUUAUAGGACUUCAGUUUGAAAUAGGGGCGGCAAUCCAUUCGUUUUAUCCAAUCAAUUGGAAAAGGGGGGGGGGGGUCAACAUUGAUAGUCAAAAAGCCUUGAAAUAUUCGAUAAAAACGUUGAAUGUUAAAUUAUAUGAACUCCAAAAUCUCAUAUUAUAAGACUAGUAACCACAGGCUUCUAAAUUCUUGUAUGAUAAUGAACUAGGUGAAAACCUAGAGCUGACCGAGUGCGAGAUCCUCAUGGAUAAUCAUCGAGGUCGUUAAACACCCCUUGCAGUAAACUUUGGUUAAAUUUAAAAAACAUCGAAAUGUAAUAGUCUGAACACAUUUCACCGCUCAUUCCACUGAAUAUUAAAUUGCAGUUACAAGUAUCACAAAACUUCCCUGACCUAUUUUCUUUAACCAUAAUAGAGGGAGGAGGGGAGGAGGGAUCCAGAUCCUGAAAUCCCGGGCUUAAAAACACGAAAUCCGGCGAGGUCCCAAAUUAAAAAAAAGUCAAAUCCCGACUACCCGAAAUUCGGAAAAAAAGAAUUCCCGGAUCCCGGAGUUCCGAUAAAGGUCCUACCCCCUCCCCCCUCGUAAUUCUAUAUUCUAUUCAUUCUUAAUCUUGAAUUGAGACUUGAUACUUCAAAAUUACAUUCUCUAAUUUUGAAUGAUGCACACAGGCACAAUAAAAGAAAACAGAUUUCGCUAUAUAUAUCUCUUCGAAAUUGGAAUUUGUGAAAGAAGAAAUGACAUGUUAUAUUUUAUCUUACAUGUGUACUUUCAAUUUCAAUAUGGUUCUAAAUUUAGAUUUAGUUUUCCCAUAAAUUGCGGACGGAAUAGAAGACACCUGUUUAUUUUCUGCACAUGUAGAAAAAGUUGAAAACUGGGAGUUGAAUGACAUAAUUUUUACUUAUUUUUAAGAUAAAUGUUAGAAUUUUUAAGUAAAUGAGUAAUUUUUGGGGCAUAAUUUUUUUAUUUUUUGUUUGUUUUCCGUCUUUGUUCUUCCGACUUGUAAGUGUUGCACUAGAGAUUAAAUUAUUCUCUUGGUAUCGUCUGAUUUCUUAUAUGAAUAUAAGUCAUGUCCUUAAAUUUUCAAUUGCACAAAAUACGAACAUUUCAACGUCUUUUUGAUUAAACAAUUAAAUUCACACGUCUUUCAUUAAUUAUUUGUAACCUAUUAUAAAACUUUACGUUGAGUACUGUGUUUUUCGUUCAAGACUACGGCUUUUUAAAACGAUAUUGUUGGGUCAAUUCAGGUUUCAUUUUAAUUAAUUUGAUAUCAAUAGAAGAAAAUUUGUUACAUGUUUAUUUGUUUAUUUGUUUAUAAUUUUGUUGUGAGGCGUUUUUUCUUUCUGUUGAUAUCAUAAACACGAAAUGCCUUCUCCUACGCGUCUAAAACAAAAAACAAAACAGUGUUUUUAAGUCAGGCUGCACACAGAACAACGUACAGAAUGCUGUGAUUUCUAAUUGGAGUUUAUUUAGAUAAUUUCUAUGAGGUUUAAGACAGCACAGGCGUGCUUGUUGGAUUCAUUAUAGACCAGAGAAAGUAGUUUCUCUUUCGUGUGUCCUUUCUUGGAGUAAGGGAGAUAACUUGCGUAACUAACGACGAACGUUUUUAAUCCCGUAUUCCGCUAGAGGCGUGCAAUUACGUACACUUCGCCUUAAAGU
rnacentral:lncRNA from 1 species